GAUGAACGCUGGCGGCGUGCUUAACACAUGCAAGUCGAACGAAGCACUUUAUUACGAUUUCUUCGGAAUGACGAUUUAGUGACUGAGUGGCGGACGGGUGAGUAACGCGUGGGUAACCUGCCUUAUACAGGGGGAUAACAGUUAGAAAUGACUGCUAAUACCGCAUAAGCGCACAGGAUUGCAUGAUCUGGUGUGAAAAACUCCGGUGGUAUAAGAUGGACCCGCAUCUGAUUAGCUGGUUGGUGAGGUAACGGCCCACCAAGGCGACGAUCAGUAGCCGACCUGAGAGGGUGACCGGCCACAUUGGGACUGAGACACGGCCCAAACUCCUACGGGAGGCAGCAGUGGGGAAUAUUGCACAAUGGGGGGAAACCCUGAUGCAGCGACGCCGCGUGAGUGAUGAAGUAUUUCGGUAUGUAAAACUCUAUCAGCAGGGAAGAUAAUGACGGUACCUGACUAAGAAGCACCGGGCUAAAUACGUGCCAG
rnacentral:rRNA from 1 species